GCUGAAAACAUGGGGCACAUGCU
rnacentral:miRNA from 1 species